CUUCAUUGGUUCAUAUUUUACAAAAUGUCGAGAAACAAUCUGUUUUUAUUUCUUAAUUCUGGUUCUUCCACUUGAGUCAAGACCUCAUUCAAACAAACAUAAAGCAUCAUCCUUACAAGGGUUGAUGAAGAAGGGAAAACAAAGCCUUUGGGACUCUAUCCAGCGUGUUGCAAUCAAGCUUUGCUAGCCUUUGUUGAAUUUUACUAGAUUGUGCAUGUGGCAAUCUAGUGAUUUUGUAUCUUUUUUCUUUCCUGAUAAGAUACAUGGAUGUGUAUAAAUGGGCGUAUAGUGAUGUGUAAGGUGCGUAUAGAUGAAUGUAUAGGCGUAGAUGAAUGUAUAGAUGCAUGUAUAGGCGUAGAUGAAUGUUUAGUGAUGUGUAAGGUGUGCGCAUAGAUGAAUGUAUAGGCAUAGAUGUAUGUAUAGGCGUAGAUGAAUAUGUAGGUGUAGAUGGGCGUAUUAGUAGAGUGUGUGAGCGUAGAACAUUAGACAAACGAGGGACAAAAAUGCGCAACGCGGGCCGUAGCCAAAGAAAAAACGCGAAGCUUAACAAAACACAAAAAAAAAACAGACGCCAAAUCGCAAAGUCAAAGCGACAUAGUCGAAACAUGUAACAAAUGGCAAAAACAAAUAAAGCAUAGUUGAAACUCUAACAAAGACAAGAUUAAUCCGUGUCGAAAGACAAAAUUAAUCUAAGUCGAAAUUAUCAAAAACACUUUAAAAAUAAAAAACAACUGAAAAAGUUAUUAAAGCGACUUC
rnacentral:misc_RNA from 1 species